rnacentral:misc_RNA from 1 species
AUGAAUAGGUAAGAAGAACACGAUUAUAGUAUUUUAGAAUAAUGGAAGUUUGGUGAAAAUCCAACACGGUCCCGCCACUGUAAUAAGCAAAGAGUGCUUUAAGUCAGGUCUUUUAUCUAAAUUAAACUGGUACUGUUGUUUCGAGGCAAAAACAAUAGUCGCUUAUUCCAGUAGACAUGUGUCUCUGGUUUUUUUUAUU